AGUGAACGCUGGCGGCAGGCCUAACACAUGCAAGUCGAGCGGCAGCGCGGGGGCAACCCUGGCGGCGAGCGGCGGACGGGUGAGGAAUUCGUCGGAAUCUGCCUUUUUGUGGGGGAUAACGUAGGGAAACUUACGCUAAUACCGCAUACGUCCUACGGGAGAAAGUGGGGGACCGCAAGGCCUCACGCAGAAAGAUGAGCCGACGACCGAUUAGCUAGUUGGUGGGGUAAAGGCCCACCAAGGCGACGAUCGGUAGCUGGUCUGAGAGGAUGAUCAGCCACACUGGGACUGAGACACGGACCAGACUCCUACGGGAGGCAGCAGUGGGGAAUAUUGGACAAUGGGCGCAAGCCUGAUCCAGCCAUGCCGCGUGUGUGAAGAAGGCCUUCGGGUUGUAAAGCACUUUUGUCCGGAAAGAAAUCCCUGGAGCUAAUACCUUCGGGGGAUGACGGUACCGGAAGAAUAAGCACCGGCUAACUUCGUG
rnacentral:rRNA from 1 species